UAACGCGAAGAACCUUACCAGGUCUUGACAUCUUCUGCCAAUUUUAGAGAUAAGACGUUCCCUUCGGGGACAGAAUGACAGGUGGUGCAUGGUUGUCGUCAGCUCGUGUCGUGAGAUGUUGGGUUAAUUCCCGCAACGAGCGCAACCCUUAUUAUCAGUUGCCAGCAUUCAGUUGGGCACUCUGGUGAGACUGCCGGUGACAAACCGGAGGAAGGUGGGGAUGACGUCAAAUCAUCAUGCCCCUUAUGACCUGGGCUACACACGUGCUACAAUGGACGGUACAACGAGUUGCGAAGUCGUGAGGCUAAGCUAAUCUCUUAAAGCCGUUCUCAGUUCGGAUUGCAGGCUGCAACUCGCCUACAUGAAGUUGGAAUCGCUAGUAAUCGCGGAUCAG
rnacentral:rRNA from 1 species